GUGACGACUGUGGUGUUCGGGAGCUGGAGGUAGUAGGGGUAUCCACGCUGUGUGAGUCCUCCUUGAUCUGUAAUGGGAAUGCCCCUUACUCAGUAUCCAGUGGAUAUGGCCAUGGGUCAAGACACUCUGCUUCAUGGAGAAACCUUGUUUGCUAUUCCCAACACAGAUUUGGACCACAUAGCCCUUCCAUUUCUCACCAUCAGCAGCAACUUCUAUGACCGUUGACUUCUCAUGAAAGCUCUGUACCUUCAGGACUCUGUUCUUCAAGAGAGCAGCUCCGUGAAGGGGAGGAUAACCACUGGACUUCUAGAAGGCACAUCACUAGCCUUGUGAAUAAGAAAGUGUUUAUAGUGGUCUAUAAGAUUCCAAGAUGUGGCCAUUGACUUCUCCCAAGAAGAAUGGGGAUUCCUGAACCCUGCUCAGAGAAAAUUAUACACAGCUGUGAUGUCAGAGAAUUAUCAGAAUGUGGUCUGGCUAGGUAAGUGCACCGAGCCCUGAAUUCAGCAUCUGGUCUCUGGUGUAACUUCCUCCUUCUAGUGGAAUUCUCUGGGGGAAUUACUAUGGCCUUUGCUUCAUUUUUUUUUUGUUCCACGUCUCAUAAAGAACACUGUUGGUAGUAUAUAGCUCUCUCAUACUGAUCCUUCAGAAAACCUUUAAACUUUGUCUGGCCAUUUUCAUUAGGGCUUUUAUUCCUGAUUGCUGUGGUAGACUGGCUUAAUUUUUGGGUAAAAAUGGCAUGGCCAGUUGGUGUCUCUUUUUCUUUGCUCAGGCAUUUCUGUCUCUAAGCCUGAUGUAGCUUUCCUGUGGAGCAAGGGAAACAGCUCUGGGGGAUGAGGAGCAAGAAAGCAAAAUCUCCUUGAGCAGAUGAGAUCAGAGGAGAGGUGACAGGUGCAAAAGGCCAGCAGCUCUGACUUACAGCAGCUUGGAGGUGUUUGGACACCUCCCUUCAUAGGGCCCUUUAUUAGUUCAACUCCAUUGAUCCUAAUUGAUCACUCUCUGCUCAUAUCUUUUUAAAUAAUUUUUUCCAGCCUCCAGAUGGAAGUGUGUUUCCCCUCCCUCCUUCCACCCAUUUGUGAUGAGCUUCCUACCUUUACUCUCCAGGUGGUUUUUCACCAGCUCAUCUUCCUUCAUUCUUUCAUUCAUACAGCUGUUCUUUUGAAAAUAUUCCUCUUCUUUAUCUGAAAUAUACUCAUUCUGUCCUCUGAGUAAUUGAAUAAAUAAAUGUAUCCAUCAGGAGUUAUUCCAUGAACAAACAUAUUUGAUCUUUAAUUCAGGACUAGAGUGGGGGUUAUCUAAGAGAGUAUAACUCACCAAGGAAUUUACUAUUUAUUUAUUUUUUAAAGAUAUUUAUUUUUUUAUUCAUGAAAGACACACACACACACAGAGGCAGAGACACAGGCAGAGGGAGAAGCAGGCUCCAUGUAGGGAGCCCAAUGUGAGACUUGAUCCUAGGACUCUAGGAUUAUACCUCGAGCCGAAGGCAGACUCCCAACCACUGAGCCACCUAGGCAUCCCGGAAUUUACUAUUUAAUAAAGGGAAUGACGAGAUGUUCUUAAGUACCUCAUCAAAGUAGAAGCCAAAAUUAAACAGAGUGAUGACUGUACAGGCAUUGGAAUGGCCAAGGGUUGGCACAUCAGUGGUAGAAGGUAUGGGAGUCUGGAUAUUUAAUGUGUACCGCUUACCUGUACCCUCUAGAUCUGUUCUAGCCCAAUCCUGGAUGUACCUCUUUUUUUUUUUUUUUCUGGAUGUACCUCUUAACAUCUCAUGAAAGGAUGCUGCUGGUCUACCCACCUGAGAGCUGGUGGUAUGGUAUGGUAUGUUGGCAGCUUUGGCCACAUAAAUAUAAGCAUUUGAUGUCUGUCUUAGUCUGUUUGAGCUUUUAUAACAGAAAAAACACAGAUGAUAUGGCUUAAAAACAAGCAUUUAGGGGAUCCCUGGGUGGCUCAGCGGUUUAGCGCCUGCCUUUGGCUCAGGACGCGAUCCUGGAGUCCUGGGAUUGAGUCCCACUUGGGCUCCCAGCACGGAGCCUACUUCUCCCUCCUCCUGUGUCUCUGCCUCUCUGUCUCUCUCUCUAUGUCUAUCAUAAAUAAAUAAAUCUUAAAAAAAAAAAAGAACAAACAAACAAGCAUUUACUUCUCUCUCUCUCUUUUUUGAAGAUUUAUUUAUUUUAGAAAGAGUGAGAGACCAUGCAUGAGAGUAUGCAGUGGGGAGGGGCAGAGAGAGACAAUCUUAGGCAGACUCCCCACUAAGCACAAAACCCUACCCAGGGCUCGAUUUCAUGAGAUCACAUGAACCAAAACAAAAGUUGGAUGCUUAACUGACUGUGCCACCCAGGUGCCUCAACAAGCAUUUACUUUUCAUGGUUCUAGAGGCUGGGAAGUGCAAGAUCAAGGCAUGUAUAGAUUCAUUGUCUGGUGGGCGUCUGCCUCCUGGUUCAUAGAUGUCGAUCUUCUUAGUGUGUCCUCACAUGAAGGAAAGGGAGAAGGAACUCUUUAGGGUCUCUUAUAAGGGCACUAAUCUCAUUUAGGAGGGAUCCACCCUGAUGACCUGAUCACUUCCCAAAGGCCCAUCUCCAAAUACUGUGCCAUUGAGAGUUAGGAUUUCAACAUAAGAGUUUGUGAGGGACACAAACAUUCUCUUCAUGACAGUAUCCCUCAGGAAGAGGGUCUCUCUUAGUACUGGUAUCACGCUAAGAGAUAUUUUUAAAACGGCGUAUAGUUGUCUGCUGUAGGUGGCAUAAAUCUAGGGUGUGAACUAUGACUCCUGUUGAUAUUCCAUAUGGCAUCUUUUUCUACCACAGAUACCUCUAGUCCCAUGGGAUCUGCCCAGUGAUGGCCCAGGCAGCAAGACUGCUCAUAACACAACUUGGACUUUGUUCUGGGUCUCAAUGGAAACUGGUCCUUUCUGCAUUACCCUGUAAGGGGAUCAGAACAGUAUUUGCAAGAUGGAAUAUGCUACCUCCUCUCAAGUACUGUACCUCUUUCUUGAUAGAAGGUGUGAGGUAUAAAGAUGUAUUCUUUACCUUGGCAGCAGUGGUCCACCAUCCCUUGGACCAUAGGACCCCUAAAAUCUUUCCUGUGUGCUGGAUCCCUGAGUCUUCAUAGUGUUUUUCUAUCACCUUCCAGAGCAGAUGUGUCCUACCAGGUCAUCUGGAUUACUUGCCACUUUGUGUUGUUCAGUUCUCAUGAACAUGAUAUCAUCAACAUAGUGGACCAGUGUGAUGUUCUACAGAAUGAUCAGAUACUCCAGAGUCUUCAGAUUAUGCUGUGAUAGAGAGCAGGAGAAUUGACUUCACUACUGGGCCAAGACCCUUGGAUCAGUCUGUUUGGGCUGCCAUAAUAAAGCUCCCUAGACUGGAUGGUGUAAGUAGAGAUAUUUAUUUCCUCAGGCUGGAAGUCUGAGAUCAAAGUGUCAGCAGUGUUGGUUUCUCCUGAGGCCUCUCUUCUUGAUUUGUAGAUAGGCCAUCUCUUUCCUGUGUCUUCUGUGGUCUUCCCUCAAUGUGUGUCAGUGUUGUAAUAUAUUCUAAGAAUACAGUCAUACUGUAUUAGGGUCCAUCCUACUGACUUAAUUUUAUCUCUUUUAAAGGUCCUGUCUCAGGGCACAUGGGUGGCUCAGUGUGUGGUCCUGGGGUCCCGGGGUCAAGUCCCGCAUUGGGCUCCCCAUAGGGAGCCUACUUCUCCCUCUGUCUAUGUCUGUGCCUCUCUGUGUGUGUUUCUCAUGAAUAAAUAAAUAAAAUCUUUAAAAAAAAUAAAGGUCCUAUCUCCAAAGAUCUGCCUGUCUUUGAAAUUUUGUAUCACUCAUUAUCCAUACCAAUUGUAUAUGUACUCUUCUUGUGUUGUCAGUGUUUCAUUGUGGAAAUGAUUGGAUUGAGUGAGUAAUGACUAGUUACAGCACGAGAUGAUAAAAAUCUUCUAAACUUAUAAAAAUAAGAUGGGUUUAUUUUAUUAAAUAUCCAGCGACAUGCUGUAAAAAGAAAAAAAUGAUAACCUCUUUGUAUGUUUUCAUUCUCACUACCCUAGAGGACCAGUGCUGGUAAUAUAGUAGGUGUACAUUCAUGUUUUUAUCCAUGCUAAUAAAUAGUGCAUGCACACACACACCCAGCCCCAGGGAGCAUCUUACUAUUUCUUGCUCUUAGAGAAGAGAUAUCUUUCUAGUUGUUACUCUGCAACCUGGUCUUUUCUGUCACCUUUCUCUUUUUCAGUCAACAGAGCUGAAACUCAUUAUUUUUAAUAGAUUCAUGAAUGAGCCAGACUAUUGGACAUAUUAUCAACUCAAAUAGAUACUUUUAAUGGUUGUUCCAGCUUUUUUGCCAAAUAGUGGGACAAUAAAUGUCCUUGUACGUGUAUAUCUUUAAGUACUAGAGUCUUUAAGCUUAGAUUGUCAACAGUGGGAGUAUGUGUGGUUAUUCAUUUUAAUAUAUUUACAUAUUCAUUUUUAGAGAGUGAGUCAAUAGGGAAGAGCAAGGAAUUGCCUCUAAUGAAGACUAUAAAAGAAGAAACAUUCCAAUGUGAAAUAGUGAUGAAAAGAAUAGGCAACACGUGUAAAGAAUAUGCAGAAACUUCCUGUACCAAUACUUGCCUUCUUGUCAAUCAGAAAAUUCUCAAGGAGGAGUGCUGCCGCUGCCAAGAGUGUGGGAAAUCCUUUAGCUGUCGAUCAACCCUCGAAUAUCAGAGAAUCACGCAGGAGAGAGACCCUAUAAAUGUAGUGAGCGUAGUAAAACUUUCAGUCAGAGGGCAUACCUUAACCAGCACGAGUGCAUUCACACAGGGGAGAGGCCCUAUGAGUGUAAGGAGUUUAGGAAAACCUUCAGCCAGAUGACACAUCUUCUUCAGCAUCAGAACACACAUACUAGGGCAGCCCGGUUGGCUCAGUUGUUUAGCGCCUCCUUCGGCUCGGGGUGUGGUCCUGGGGUCCUGGGAUUGAGUCCUGAGUCGGGCUCCCUGCAUGGGGCCUGCUCUUCCCUCUGCCUGUGUCUCUGCCUCUCUCUCUCUCUCUCUGUGUCUCUCAU
rnacentral:lncRNA from 1 species